UGGGGGAUAUUGCACAAUGGGCGAAAGCCUGAUGCAGCGACGCCGCGUGGGGGAUGAAGGCCUUCGGGUUGUAAACUUCUUUUGCUCUGAACAAGGCGCACCAUGGGGUGUGUUGAGUGUAGGGGUUGAUUAGCGCCGGCUAACUACGUGCCAGCAGCCGCGGUAAUACGUAGGGCGCGAGCGUUGUCCGGAAUUAUUGGGCGUAAAGGGCUUGUAGGUGGCUGGUUGCGUCUGUCGUGAAAGCUCAUGGCUUAACUGUGGGUUUGCGGUGGGUACGGGCUGGCUUGAGUGCAGUAGGAGAGGCUGGAAUUCCUGGUGUAGCGGUGGAAUGCGCAGAUAUCAGGAGGAAUACCGGUGGCGAAGGCGGGUCUCUGGGCUGUUACUGACACUGAGGAGCGAGAGCAUGGGGAGCGAACAGG
rnacentral:rRNA from 1 species